AUAAGGCCCUUCAAAAAACGGCGAGUGAGCGGCAAGAGCUCAGAUUUGAAAUCGUGCUUUGCGGCACGAGUUGUAAAUUGCAGGUUGGAGUCUGUGUGGAAGGCGGUGUCCAAGUCCCUUGGAACAGGGCGCCCAGGAGGGUGAGAGCCCCGUGGGAUGCCGGCGGAAGCAGUGAGGCCCUUCUGACAACUCGAGUUGUUUGGGAAUGCUGCUCCAAGCGGU
rnacentral:rRNA from 1 species